rnacentral:lncRNA from 1 species
UCACACAAUCCUCCCGAUCCACAACACUACUAACUCUCUUUGUUCUUUUGCUUGGUACAGAAUGCUUAGAUGAUGUUUGGGGCCAAGGAACUAAUUUGGGUCAUGCAGAGGACAUUCAAGAAUUCAAAAACGGAACACUAAAUACAACUAGAGGUAUAGUGAUUGGGCUCCAUCCUCGGCGGCGGAUCGAGCGCACAUCGAUGGAGUCGCUCUUCUCCCCUCACCGGCAGGGACAGAUGGAGGCAGUGUGGGCCGGUGACUGUAGAUCAAGUGACGACCUUGACAGUAAGCCAGCCACGAUCUCGUCUCUCAUCUUCCUCUCAUGGGUCUCCUCUCCUUCUUUCCUCUUCUGA